rnacentral:lncRNA from 1 species
UUCAAAAAAUUUGUAUCAUUUCUCCUAUUAUGUAUGCUAAGGCGGAAUCCUGAAAGCGAUGCAUCUCCUAGAUAUACAUCGAUUUUACCAAGAUUGGUAAGCUAUAAUGCUCAAGUUGACAUAGAAUACUACUCCCUGCGUUUUAUUUUAUAUGGCAGUGUUUGACUAGACAUGGAGUUUAAGAAAGAAAGAUUUGUGCUACAUGCAAAAAGGACCCUUAGAACUUAUGGACUCGAACAUGCCAUGCAUGGCAUUUCUGUGUCUAUAUGAGAAUGUCAUUAAAGUUAAUGAGAUUCCAAAUAUAGAAAGCUGCCUUUCUUCUUGCAACAGACUAAGAAAGAGUUCCUCAUAAAAUGAGAUAGAGGAAGUAUUAUCUUAGCGAAGUGCAAAUUACGCUGCGAUUCACUAAUUAACAAAAACAUGACAGGUACUAACAGAGGUUUUACUGUUACCUUGUUGCUUUGCCCAGUCGAGCGUGUCUUGCAAUCACAUUUUCGAGGCCUUCCUCGAAAAGAAGGUCGAGUGCAGCUCGGAGUCCAUACAAAAGUUGGAUUGAAGGAGUAUAUGGCCAAUAAGUUCCCAUCUUGUAGAACUUAAGGUAAUCACUCCAGUCAAAGAAAACUCUCACAGAUUUUGCAGUUUUGGCGGCCUCAAGAGCCUUGGGACUAGCACAGACUAUCCCGAGUCCAGUGGGAAGGGAAAGUGCUUUCUGCGAACCAGUAAGAGCCACAUCUACGCCCCAUUCAUCCAUGCGAAAAUCAAGUGCACAAAUAAUCACUCCAGUCAAAGAAAACUCUCACGAGCGUGUCUUGCAAUCACAUUUUCGAGGCCUUCCUCGAAAAGAAGGUCGAGUGCAGCUCGGAGUCCAUACAAAAGUUGGAUUGAAGGAGUAUAUGGCCAAUAAGUUCCCAUCUUGUAGAACUUAAGGUAAUCACUCCAGUCAAAGAAAACUCUCACAGAUUUUGCAGUUUUGGCGGCCUCAAGAGCCUUGGGACUAGCACAGACUAUCCCGAGUCCAGUGGGAAGGGAAAGUGCUUUCUGCGAACCAGUAAGAGCCACAUCUACGCCCCAUUCAUCCAUGCGAAAAUCAAGUGCACAAAUUGAGGACACUCCAUCAACAAGGAAGAGAGCAGGAUGCUGGUAGUGAUCUG